AUGGGGAGGACAGGGAAUGACCCGCUACAGUGGGUCUCUGAACUAAUCGAUGACAUUACGGGAACAUGGGAUAUUGAAACAAUAAGUCGGAAUUUUCUUGCACCUGACGCAGAGGCCAUACUCAACAUUCCUAUUCGACACAACGGUGGAGAAGAUUUCCUGGCUUGGGCUUUUGAAAGAUCCGGUGAGUACACUGUAAAAUCAGCCUAUCGUGCUCUUGUGACUCAAAACGAGCGUCGAGCUCUAGAGGAAGGGACGGUAGUGGGAACCUCAGCUUCGCAAAAACAGUUGUGGACUACUCUAUGGAAACUCAAAGUGACCCCAAGAGUUCAGGUAUUC
rnacentral:rRNA from 1 species